rnacentral:rRNA from 1 species
UAAGGCAUGCAAGUCGAACGAGUACGGUCCGCAAGGAUCGUGCUAGUGGCAAACGGGUGAGUAACACAUUGGUAACCUACCCCAAAGUGUGGAACAACCCUCCGAAAGGAGGGCUAAUACCACAUGUGGUUUUCUGGCAUAUGUCAGAAAAAGAAAGGCUCGCAAGAGUCGCUUUGGGAGGGGCCUAUGGCUUAUCAGCUAGUUGGUGAGGUAAUAGCUCACCAAGGCUAUGACGAGUAGCGGGCGUGAGAGCGCGACCCGCCUCAGUGGAACUGAGACACUGUCCACACUCCUACGGGAGGCUGCAGUCGAGAAUAUUCCCCAAUGGACGAAAGUCUGAGGGAGCGACGCCGCGUGCAGGAUGAAGGCCUUCGGGUUGUAAACUGCUUUUCUCUGGGAAGAACACUGACCGUACCAGAGGAAUAAGAGGUUGCUAACUCUGUGCCAGCAGCAGCGGUAAUACAGAGACCUCGAGCGUUAUCCGGAUUUAUUGGGCGUAAAGGGUCCGCAGGUGGUUUUGUAAGUCUUCGGUUAAAUUCUUGAGCUCAACUCGAGAACCGCCGAGGAAACUAUAAGACUAGAGACUGGGAGAGGCAAGCGGAAUUGCCGGUGUAGUAGUAAAAUGCGUUAAUAUCGGCAAGAACACCAAAUGCGAAGGCAGCUUGCUAGAACAGUUCUGACACUCAGGGACGAAAGCGUGGGGAGCGAUACGGAUUAGAUACCCGUGUAGUCCACGCCCUAAACAAUGGGUACUGGGCAUUGGAAGUAUCGACCCUUUCAGUGCCGCAUAUCAAAGCUAACGCGUUAAGUACCCCGCCUGGGGAGUACGGCCGCAAGGCUAAAACUCAAAGGAAUUGACGGGAACCCGCACAAGCGGUGGAGCAUGUGGUUCAAUUCGACAAUAAGCGUGGAACCUUACCAGGGCUUGACAUGCUGGAAGUAUUCUCCCGGAAACGGGAGAUGACCGUUAAAUCGGAUUCCAGCACAGGUGCUGCAUGGUUGUCGUCAGCUCGUGUCGUGAGAUGUUCCGUUAAGUCGGGAAACGAGCGCAACCCUCACGGCCAGUUACUAUAUCUGGCCGAACUGCCCCGCACCCAGUACAUUUGCUAAGCAAGUGUGUUGAGUGCGGGGAGGAAGGUGAGGAUGACGUCAAAUCAGCAUGGCUCUUACGUCCUGGGCGACACACGUGCUACAAUGGCCGGCUACAAUGGGUUGCCAAACCGUAAGGUGGAGCUAAUCCCAUAAAACCGGUCCCAGUUCGGAUUGAGGUCUGAAACUCGACCUCAUGAAGCCGGAAUCGCUAGUAAACGCGCAUCAGCCACGGCGCGUUGAAUACGUUCUCGGGUUUUGUACACACCGCCCGUCACGCCAAGAGAGUCGGGGGUACCUGAA